GACGAACGCUGGCGGCGUGCCUAAUACAUGCAAGUUGAGCGAUGAAGAUUGGUGCUUGCACCAAUUUGAAGAGCAGCGAACGGGUGAGUAACGCGUGGGGAAUCUGCCUUUGAGCGGGGGACAACAUUUGGAAACGAAUGCUAAUACCGCAUAACAACUUUAAACAUAAGUUUUAAGUUUGAAAGAUGCAAUUGCAUCACUCAAAGAUGAUCCCGCGUUGUAUUAGCUAGUUGGUGAGGUAAAGGCUCACCAAGGCGAUGAUACAUAGCCGACCUGAGAGGGUGAUCGGCCACAUUGGGACUGAGACACGGCCCAAACUCCUACGGGAGGCAGCAGUAGGGAAUCUUCGGCAACAGACGAAAGUCUGACCGAGCAACGCCGCGUGAGUGAAGAAGGUUUUCGGAUCGUAAAACUCUGUUGGUAGAGAAGAACGUUGGUGAGAGUGGAAAGCUCAUCAAGUGACGGUAACUACCCAGAAAGGGACGGCUAACUACGUG
rnacentral:rRNA from 1 species